UACGCCAGAUGAUGCGCAGCACGCCUCCA
rnacentral:sRNA from 1 species